GGGCAUGGUGUAGUGGUUUGAGUGUUGGACUAUGACUCUGGAGACCAGGGCUCAAAUCCCGGCUUGGCCA